rnacentral:rRNA from 1 species
GACAGAGGCCUCAAGCGUUAGGCGGAAUCACUGGGCUUAAAGCGUGUGUAGGCGGAUCGUUAAGUGUCUUGUGAAAUCCCACGGCUCACCCGGGGAACUGCUGGGCAUACUGGGCGUCUUGGGCCAACUAGGGGCAACUGGAACAAGCGGUGGAGCGGUGAAAUGCGUAGAUAUCGCUUGGAACGCCGAAGGUGAAAACAGGUUGCUGGGGUUGUGCCGACGCUGAGACACGAAAGCCAGGGGAGCAAACGGG